rnacentral:lncRNA from 1 species
AGAAACUUAAGUGAUUUAGAGUGUGACUUUCAUGAACAGAAAUAGUCUCCAUAAUCUAAUCUCCAGAAUGCACUAAACCAGGAGAAGAUCCACCUGACUUUUCUGCUUCCACAGGUAUCAUAAUGACAGUUCAUUUUCAGGAUAAUUUCGUUGUCAAAGGAAUGGAAGAAUAUUAAGGAGAACAAGUCCUCAUCUCUCCAAAGACCCUUCAUCCUUCAUUUCACAAUAGUCUUUAUUGGUCUGCUGGAGUUUGCUGGAGGUCCACUCCAGACCCUGUUUGCCUGGGUAUCACCGGCAGAGGCUGCAGAGCAGCAAAGAUUGCUGCCUGCUCCUUCCUCUGGAAGCUUCAUCCCAAAGGGGCACCCGCCUGAUGCCAGCCAGAGCUCUCCUGUACGAGAGAUGCCCUGCCCAGUGAGGAGGAAUCUAGAGAAGCAGUCUGGCCAUAGCUUUGCUGCACUGCGAUGUUACCUUUUUGACAUAACCAAGUAAACCAACAGGCUUGAAGACACACCGAUCAUAAAAAUGAAUCUAAGAACCCAGGUGUAAUCUUCUGAUUUCUAGGUCCCAGCGCUUCUCAUUUUUAAGCAGAGUUUCAUAGAAAUACUCUAUUCAAACAAACAAACAAAAAAAACAGAAAAGCCACAGACCUCUGUAACAUUUAAGCAGAGGUGUCCUCUUAGUAAAAUGUAAAAUACAUGUGUGAAAUCUGUUUCCAA